GUGAGGAAUUUUGCGCAAUGGCCGCAAGGCUGACGCAGCAACGCCGCGUGGGUGAUGAAGGCCUUCGGGUCGUAAAGCCCUGUCAGGUGGGAAGAAAGGCCUGGAGAGGAAAGGUUUCAGGUUUGACGGUACCACCAGAGGAAGCACCGGCUAACUCCGUGCCAGCAGCCGCGGUAAUACGGAGGGUGCGAGCGUUAUUCGGAAUUACUGGGCGUAAAGCGCGUGUAGGCGGGGGGACAAGUCUGAUGUGAAAGCCCUGGGCUUAACCUGGGAAGCGCAUUGGAAACUGUUUUUCUUGAGUACUGGAGAGGAAGGGGGAAUUCCCGGUGUAGAGGUGAAAUUCGUAGAGAUCGGGAGGAAUACCAGUGGCGUAGGCGCCCUUCUGGACGGUAACUGACGCUGAGACGCGAAAGCGUGGGGAGCAAACAGGAUUAGAAACCCCGGUAGUCC
rnacentral:rRNA from 1 species